rnacentral:rRNA from 1 species
AAUGCAGUUCCCAGGUUGAGCCCGGGGAUUUCACAUCUGUCUUACAUAACCGCCUGCGCACGCUUUACGCCCAGUAAUUCCGAUUAACGCUCGCACCCUACGUAUUACCGCGGCUGCUGGCACGUAGUUAGCCGGUGCUUAUUCUUACGGUACCGUCAUGGGCCUCUCGUAUUAGGAGAAGCUUUUUCGUUCCGUACAAAAG